GGAUCCGAGGAUUAUUGGAUGAUCGCCAUAAUAUUGGAGAUGCUGGUUCGAUUCCAGCCGGAUUCA
rnacentral:tRNA from 2 species